rfam:Oryza barthii chromosome 4, whole genome shotgun sequence.
UUUAAGCGUAGCCAUAAGUUUCCGUGUCUAACUUUGAUUGUCCGUCUUAUUUUUUUUAUGAUUAGUAUUUUUAUUGUUAUUAGGUGAUAAAACAUAAAUAGUACUUUAUGUGUGACUUAUGUUUUUUAAAUUUUUCAAAAGUUUUUCGAAUAAGAAUGACGACCAAAGUUAGACAUGAAAACUGAUGACUGCGUUUAAA